UACGUAGGGGCCUAGCGUUGUCCGGAUUUAUUGGGCGUAAAGAGCUCGUAGGCGGUUCGGUAAGUCAGGUGUGAAAUCUCCACGCUCAACGUGGAGGCGCCACCUGAAACUGCCGUGACUCGAGUCCGGUAGGGGAGUGUGGAAUUCCCGGUGUAGCGGUGAAAUGCGCAGAUAUCGGGAAGAACACCUAUGGCGAAGGCAGCUCUCUGGGACGGUACUGACGCUGAGACGCGAAAGCGUGGGGAGCGAACAGG
rnacentral:rRNA from 1 species